UAGGGAAUCUUCCGCAAUGGGCGAAAGCCUGACGGAGCAACGCCGCGUGAGUGAUGAAGGUCUUCGGAUCGUAAAACUCUGUUAUUAGGGAAGAACAAAUGUGUAAGUAACUAUGCACGUCUUGACGGUACCUAAUCAGAAAGCCACGGCUAACUACGUGCCAGCAGCCGCGGUAAUACGUAGGUGGCAAGCGUUAUCCGGAAUUAUUGGGCGUAAAGCGCACGUAGGCGGUUUUUUAAGUCUGAUGUGAAAGCCCGCGGCUCAACCGUGGAGGGUCAUUGGAAACUGGAAAACUUGAGUGCAGAAGAGGAAAGUGGAAUUCCAUGUGUAGCGGUGAAAUGCGCAGAAAUAUGGAGGAACACCAGUGGCGAAGGCGACUUUCUGGUCUGUAACUGACGCUGAUGUGCGAAAGCGUGGGGAUCAAACAGGAUUAGAUACCCUGGUAGUCCACGCCGUAAACGAUGAGUGCUAAGUGUUAGGGGGUUUCCGCCCCUUAGUGCUGCAGCUAACGCAUUAAGCACUCCGCCUGGGGAGUACGACCGCAAGGUUG
rnacentral:rRNA from 1 species